UUUCAUUAAAAACUGCUCUAAACCCAUUGCACAGCGAUCCAAGUGGAAUUUACAAAAGCUCCAAGCUUUUAAAUACUUUGAAAUCAUAGAAGGUGAAGGCGUGGAAUCGUUUCCAGAGGAGGGGCUGCUGCCUUCAACUCUUACCCAUCUUACGAUGGGUGGAUUUGCAAGUCUUAAAAGGCUGGACAUAAAGGAGCUUCAACAACUUACUUCUCUUACAUUUCUAGAAAUCAAGUCGUGCCCUGAAUUACAGAAUCUGCCACAACAAAAGCUGCAUUCAUCUCUUACUGCUUUACAUAUCUACAAAUGUCCAAUCCUGGAAGAAAGGUGUCAGAGGGAUAAAGGGAAAGAAUGGAACAAGAUUUCUCACAUUCCCGGCAUCUAUAUCGAUCUUAAGCUCAUUUGAUCAGAUAUAUGCAACUGACUACUCUUUACAUUCCUGGUAGGUUGGAAUAUGGAAUGUUGCAGAAGACAUAUUGGAUGAGAAUUCACAACAAAGCUUUUGUCUUCCUUCAUGCUCUUCCUCAUUUAUUUUGGGUUCAUGUGUUCACAAAUCCUGCAAGAUGGCAACAAGUGCAAAUAAAAUUUUCAAAUUCUGAGUUUACUUGUUUGGGAAAUUUAGAUAUUUGUGCAUGCUACAUUUGCAAAUACUAGUUAUUUCUAAUUAUGGUGUUGUAUUUAGAAUUAUUAGUUUUACAUUUACAUUUAUCAUGGAUAUUAAUGAUGAUUUAAAGACUUUAGUUCA